GCGGUUUGUUAAGUCGGAUGUGAAAUCCCCGGGCUCAACCUGGGAAUUGCAUUCGAUACUGGCAAGCUAGAGUAUGGGAGAGGAAGGUAGAAUUCCAGGUGUAGCGGUGAAAUGCGUAGAGAUCUGGAGGAAUACCGAUGGCGAAGGCAGCCUUCUGGCCUAAUACUGACGCUGAGGUGCGAAAGCAUGGGGAGCAAACAGGAUUAGAUACCCUGGUAGUCCAUGCCGUAAACGAUGUCAACUAGCCGUUGGGGGAUUUGAUCCUUUAGUGGCGCAGCUAACGCGAUAAGUUGACCGCCUGGGGAGUACGGUCGCAAGACUAAAACUCAAAUGAAUUGACGGGGGCCCGCACAAGCGGUGGAGCAUGUGGUUUAAUUCGAUGCAACGCGAAGAACCUUACCUGGUCUUGACAUAGUGAGAAUUGGGCAGAGAUGCCCGAGUGCCUUCGGGAAUUCACAUACAGGUGCUGCAUGGCUGUCGUCAGCUCGUGUCGUGAGAUGUUGGGUUAAGUCCCGCAACGAGCGCAACCCUUUUCCUUAUUUGCCAGCACUUUUAGGUGGGAACUCUAAGGAUACUGCCAGUGACAAACUGGAGGAAGGCGGGGACGACGUCAAGUCAUCAUGGCCCUUACGACCAGGGCUACACACGUGCUACAAUGGUCGGUACAAAGGGUUGCUACACAGCGAUGUGAUGCUAAUCUCAAAAAGCCGAUCGUAGUCCGGAUUGGAGUCUGCAACUCGACUCCAUGAAGU
rnacentral:rRNA from 1 species